CCCCUCUUCACCCAGCCACCCCGCUAUUCAUUCUGGAUCCCCUUACCCAACCCUGGUUCAGGACCACCUCUCCUGACCCCUAGGCUAGGUCAGGCCACUCUCCUGACACCCUCAUUACUCAUAGGCUUUCUCUUCAGCACUUUUACCACGAUUGUGACUAAUUACAUGUGUGAUCAUUUUGGUACCAGGUCUGCGCACUGACCCUCUGGGGGCUUGGGAGGAAAGUGCUCUGAGACCACCCUCCAGCAGCUUAGGGGUGGGGCCCCUGGAGGUGCAGCAAGUUGAGAGGAAGGAAGCCCUGGUGUUUCGCUUUCCUUGGCCACACUGGUCCCCUCCGGGCCAGGAUGGGCUCAAUGUGUUCUUGCUCAGGUAGGUGACACCUCAUUAAGACAAGGGGCAGAGGGACCUGCAGAAGGGUCUGGGAGUAGAUGGCUCAGGUAGGGGUCAGAUGCAGUAGAGAA
rnacentral:lncRNA from 1 species